rnacentral:rRNA from 1 species
UACGUAUGGGGCAAGCGUUACUCGGAUUUACUGGGCGUAAAGGGCGCGUAGGUGGUGUAGAAAGUCAAAUGUGAAAACCCAUGGCUCAACUGUGGAUCCGCAUUUGAAACUUCUGCACUUGAGUUUAGGUGAGGAGAAUGGAAUUCCCGGUGUAGGGGUGAAAUCUGUAGAUAUCGGGAAGAACACCAGUGGCGAAGGCGAUUCUCUAACCUGAUACUGACACUGAGGCGCGAAAGCGUGGGGAG